CAAGCCUGGGCAAUGGCGGGCGCCCCUCCCCCAGCCUCGCUGCCGCCUUGCAGUUUGAUCUCAGACUGCUGUGCUAGCAAUCAGCGAGACUCCCUGGGCAUAGGACCCUACGAGCCAGGUGCGGGAUAUAAUCUCGUGUUGCACCGUUUUUUAAGCCUGUCGGAAAAGCGCAGUAUUCUGGUGGGAGUGACCCGAUUUUCCAGGUGCCGUCCAUCACUCCUUUCUUUGACUCAGAAAGGGAACUCCCUGACCCCUUGCGCUUCCCAAGUGAGGCAAUGCCUCGCCCUGCUUCGGCUCGCGCACGGUGCACGCACCCACUGACCUGCGCCCACUGUCUGGCACUCCCUAGUGAGAUGAACCCGGUACCUCAGAUGGAAAUGCAGAAAUCACCCGUCUUCUGCGUCGCUCACGCUGGGAGCUGUAGACCGGAGCUGUUCCUAUUCGGCCAUCUUGGCUCCUCCCUCUGAAGGAUACAAGAGCCAACCUUCUGUAAGAGGGGGAGAAAAAGAAGGAAGAUGUGUGAGCUCCCCCUGGUGCUUUCCCGCAUUCAGGCCAACUGAAAGGAGCUGCAAGGAAACACGUCUACACAGGCAUCAGGAAAAAGAAAAUAUCUGGAUUAUUUCCUUUAAAAAGGCCUGUUUCCAUGCUGAUGGGCCUCAGAGCAAGACUUCCAGGCUUCGGGCCUGAAUUCUGUAUGUCAUCUUAGGAGGAAUUCUUGCCUUGUCAGAGAACGUGUUUCUAAAACAAAAUUUCAAGUGGGGGAUUUGCCAAGCUGUCCUGCGGACAGGAUUACUCUUGGAAUCAAACGGGAUUACUUUUUGUCCAGAAUUGUUCCCUUUGUUAGGCUAGUUAUUCUUUGACUGAAUAAUUUUCACACACUUCUCUUUGUAUGUGUUGACAGCACAAAGAUAUCACAGGAAUCUGGUACCAGCCAAUUUGACUGGUGGUGACUUUAAUUCCAGACAAUAUCUCCUAUCCUAAUAAUAACCUGUAUUCGUAAUGGCCUCUUUAACACUGGGGGUCAGGGACUUCUGUGGACUCCAGUCAUCUGUGAAGAUCGUCGGGGAGAUUUCACUCAGUCUAUUCAGUAUAUCCAGUAUAGUGGCCUGAAACAAUUUAUCAACGUGUAGUCAGUCAGUCCUGCUCUUGGUCCAUACAGUGGAGAGUCUAAAAGAUGUGUGAAAUACAUUCCCUACCUACACAUGGGCAAAUCACUUAAAGGAGCAAACUUUAAUGUUCACUAACAUAGUUAAAAUGGAUGGGCCAACAUUAUCAUGGUUCUUUCACCUCCUAAGUAAAUGCAAAGCUUUUCUUCACUCCAUUUUGUAUGUGUAAUUUUGAUUGAGUGGGAAUCUUGUAAAGCCAAAAAUGGAACUGAAAGCCCACUCAUAAGACCAUAAGUUUUUUUUUUAAUUUUUAAUUUUUCUUUUCAGGCAGGGUAUUGCUGUGUCGCCCAGGCUUGAGUGCAGUGGUGCCAUCAUGGCUCACUGCAACCUCUGCCUCCCAGGAUCAAGCGAUCCUCCCACCUCAGCCUCCUGAGUAGCUGGGACUUACUGUUGUGCACCACCACAGCUGGCUAAUUGUUAGAAUUUUAAUUUUUAUUUUUUUGUAGAGACAAGGUUUUACCAUGUUGUCCAGGCUAGUCUUGAACUCAUGGACUCAGGUUAACCACCUGCCCCAGCCUCCCAGAGUGCUGGGAUUACAGGCAUGAGCCACCACGCCUGGCCAAGACCAUAAAUCUUAAUUAAUCUAGUUCAUAGUCUCAAAUUCAUUCUACUCUCUGAUUUUUAUUUCUCCCAACUUACUGUGUGCACGCACCCCCCCUUUUUAAUGACAUUUCUCUGAUUUGCACUGCCAUCCUCUCUCCUACUUCAGUGAUCCAGCAUCCACAAUUCAUUUUGUCAUAGGUGAGGCUUACCUCUUUCCUGUCAGUUCUUCACCUGUACAGAUUGCUUCCUUUUCUCUUUUUGCACUUAUUGUUUGCAACACCCAAUGACUUCUUGUAGAGAGCCCAAUUCUGUAGUUGAUAAAACCCACACAUGCACGUAUGUUACAUCUGGCUCGGAAUUGGAAGCUCCAUGGAGAAAGGAAAUGGCUUUUGUUUCUUCAGUAUCUUCACACUCCCAAAUGUGCUGAUAUCUUUAGUCGUUCUUAGCUAAAUGAGUCAAUUGAAAUAAUAAUCUGGAGGGAUUUUUUUAAAUCUCAAAAAUUUUCUAAGUCCCAUGUCUCUUAAAUGAAAAAUUGUCAAAUGAAGGAGCCAUUUUCAGGAUUUUAAUUUAUGUAUUAAUGGUACUCUACUUCCACCCCAAAAGGAUUUAAGAGUCCAACAGAAAAUUUUAAGUACCUGUUUAAAGCAAUUUACAAGAUACUGUGGAGAUUCCCAGCAAUAAAGAAUGUACUAUAGUUAAGCUGGAAUCCAACUCCUGAAUUUCUGGAGCCCUGAAGACCACUUAGUCUUACUCACAAGAAUUGAAUGGAAUGUGAAUCUACACUCAGGUGAAGCCAGGGUAUUUUGAACGUCCCUACAAGACUGAAGCACCACUGGGAAAUAAGUAAUAGAGAUGCCAUCAUUGUGGAGGUCAUAAUGCUUGUCCUGAACACGAGGGGUCUCUAGUGAAAACAUUUGCUGACUGCUGUUCUAUCUAGGAUAUCAUCAGUGUGUAGAUGAUCAGAGUUCAUGUCAGUGUUCCUACAAGCCAAUGAAGGUUCUGAGGAGGCAGGACCAAGAAAUGGAUGUUGAUGUUUAGGAGACUGUAUGUAAUAUGUAAAUAAAAUG
rnacentral:lncRNA from 1 species